GGCAUUGCGAAACCUGUCACUCUCGCAAUUCUAGAAUUUUUAUUUUAUAGCCGAUCUCUAGUGUUCUCUUCUGUGCCGCGACUUGCACUAUCUGCUGCUGCUUCUUCUUCUUCUUCUGAUUCUGCUUCUUCGUCCACCCGCUCUUCCUCGAUUGGUUAGCAAGCCUGCCACGGAAAAUUAUGCAUCAUCAUUGUUCGACUUCACUGUCCUCUUCAGGUACAGAUUCAAAGUUGGAAAAUCGGGACAUUGUGCUUGACGAAGAGGAAAGACCGUUGCUCACAGCAACAAGCGGCAGAGAUGGAACAAUACAUGAUGCAAUGUCGAUUUCGAAUUAUGUCCCCUGUAAGAGUAAGUCCGCAAUGCGCGGUCCAACGGAAGCGGAAAUCGAAGUAGAUCCUGGGGAGCGGCGUCUCAAUGAGCUUGGUUACAAGCAGGAGCUUCGCCGUGAAAUGACACUUUUCAAAUGCCUGGCGAUUGCGUUUUCUACCAUGUCGUUGUUCACUGGGAUAGUUCCACUGUUCGGCAGCAGCUUCAUGUAUGCAGGGCCAGCUGGAAUUGUUUGGGGAUGGGUUGUGGUCACUUUCUUCACUUGGUUCGUGGGCUUAGCAAUGGCGGAAAUCUGCAGUAGUUUCCCAACAACAGGAUCUCUGUAUUUUUGGGCUGCUCACUUAUCUGGACCCAAAUGGGGACCACUUGCAUCAUGGAUCUGUGCCUGGCUUGAAGCAAUUGGUUUGAUUGCGGGCAUAGGCACCCAGGCAUAUGCAGGAACUCAAACCUUGCAGAACAUAAUUCUCCUCUCAACAGGGACUAACAAGAAUGGAGGAUACUUUGCACCUCGAAGUGUAUUUUUAGCAAUCUACAUCGGCCUCUGUCUCACAUGGGCUGUGCUCAAUAGCUUUGCUCUGAAUCUCAUUGCUCUUAUUGAUAUUGUUUCCAUGUGGUGGCAGGUUGUGGGUGGAACUCUUAUUAUCAUCAUAGUGCCUUUUAUAGCGCCAAGUACUCAACCUGCUUCAUAUGUUUUCACAAAUAUCGAAAUAUCGUCUGCUGUUACAGGCAUUACAAGUCCCGUGUAUAGUGUUCUUUUGUCGUGGCUCGUGAGCCAGUAUUCACUGUAUGGGUAUGAUGCUGCUGCUCAUUUGACGGAGGAGACUAAAAAUGCAGAUAUAAAUGGUCCUCUUGCAAUUCUUUCCAGCAUUGGGAUGAUUUCAGUCUUCGGCUGGGCUUUCAUCCUGGCUCUCAUUUUUAGUAUUCAGGAUCCACAUUAUUUAUAUGACGUUACAAAUGAAACAGCUGGUCGGUUUGUUCCAGCUCAAAUAUUGUACGAUGCAUUUUAUGGGCGAUAUCAAAGUGGCACAGGAGCCAUUAUUCUGCUGAUUAUCAUGUGGGCAUCAUUUUUCUUUGCUGGUCUUUCUAUCACUACAAGUGCUGCUCGAGUGGUGUAUGCGUUAUCUCGAGAUGGAGGGAUGCCCUAUUCAAGGCUACUCCGUAAAAUCGAUCGUAGAGUUCAAGUUCCGGUUAACGCAGUCUGGUUCUGCUGUGCAUUUGCAAUUCUUCUGGGCAUUCCGAUUUUGAAACUCGAUGUGGUAUUUACAGCCAUUACCUCUAUAUGCACUAUAGGCUGGGUGGGUGGAUAUGCUGUACCUAUUUUCGCUCGGAUGAUCAUCAAGUCGGAAAACUUCAAGCCAGGUCCCUUUCAUCUGGGUCAAGCAAGUCGGUGGGUCUGUUUGAUUGCUUUCAUGUGGAUCUGCUACACUUGCGUUAUCUUUCUACUUCCUACUUCCUAUCCCAUAAGAUUAGAAACAUUUAAUUACGCACCUGUUGCUCUUGGCGUUGUCUUAUCCAUUAUUAUGGGCUGGUGGAUGCUGGAUGCACGGCGCUGGUUCCAAGGUCCUGUACGAGAAAUCUUCAGUUGAAGGGAUGCUGUGGUCAAUCCUUAAUGCCUACAUUGAUAUGCACUCAUGCAUCCAGUCGGCUAUUCUCCAAGUUUCGUGGGGCAAUUUAGGCGGUGUCUCGUUUGCACGCAUUUUUUCAGGAUAGACGUGUAGUCUAAAUGCUUAGAUACAUUGAGCACCCAUUCUGUUGAACUAGCAAAUUAGGAGUCCUAGAUUAACGGUGGCAACAACUAGUUGCAGAGUAUUUAUUUGACCGACAUUCAAUAAUCAGUCAAUAAUUAUGUAUCAGUCGCCCUCGCUUGGCACUGGCCUGGGAGAUAUCAUUUCUAUCGAAGGGUCUCCACUUAACAAACGCUUUCGCACCUGCAAGUACGCACAGACGAGAAGAGAAGAGAGGAGCAGGUGGUGGAGGAAGAGGAGGCGCAUGGUCAGAGAGUGUCGACGUUUCACAAACGACAAUAUCCUGAUAUGCUAAGUAGGCAGAUCACCAGCACAUCAACCAAAUAUUACAAGUAUGUAAAUGUUAGUUGUGUGAACCUCGGGGAGUUGCUGUUUGAACACAAUCUGUAAGCGCGCAUCAAGCGUGUUGUUCAACACAAUACGGCCGUCCCUGGUCGUCACAACUAGGCCGCCCAGACUACAAAACCCACGAGGUGCAGUGUGAGUGAGCUAAUAUGUUGUGGCGAAGGCUGCUGCAGCACGGCCCGCUAUUAGCGACGAGAAUAUCAGCGAUCAACUUACGCAGUUAGUAAAGAUAUGGUACCAUGUGGAACCAUGCACUCCCUGUUGCGGAGGUCCGGGAAGAAAAAGCUUGUCGUCCACAGCGACUUUGGGCAAGGCCACAUUGGCUUUACUGGCAUAGAUUUCACAGGCUGAUUCAAUCACUGUCUCGACUAGGUGCAGGUCCUCCUUUCGACACCGAAUCAAUGCAGCGGGCUCUUUCAGCCGCAGUAAACCCUGCACUUAACCAGCAUCACGUAUCCUUCGAAGAAGAUCUUCGACAGCGUGGAGGUAUCGGAGUCUUUGUGCAUUCAAGUGUGUUGAAUGUUCUCUACACAACACGUCAGCUUCAAUUGUAUUACACUUUCGUCAUUCUCUUUACAAUUUCUGAAUUCCUAUUAUGACUUGGACUCGAUCCCAUCAGGUAUUAGACGUGCAUUAAAGCAAUGCAGUGUACAUUUUUUUGCGCUGAACCACAAGGCGCUCCUUACGAUCGUAUUCAGCACAGAUUUUAGUUUUCUCUGCUUC